CCGAGGCGCUGUGUAUAACGUCAGGCUUAUCAAGCCGUCGGGAACAGAAGCCCCUUCUCUGUUUGUGACAGCAGAGGAAGGACUCCCGGGAAUACUCACCCUGGAAGGGCACAGAAGCCAGAGGGGUUUCUUCAGGAAAGAUGUCAACCCAGGGGCCUUGAGCAGAGACAAGCCAACUUCUGAACUUGCCUUGGACCUGGGAUGAGGACGAGGCCCCAGAAGAGAGGGAGAAGCCUUCUUCAAAGCCAGCGUGCUGAUGAGCCCUCAAGAAUGGGGUGCUUUCUCUCUGGGGGCUUGUUAGUGGGGCCAUUGGGACUGUGUCUUCGGGAUCUUGUAAUGAUUCUGGAAGUGGUGGUAGAAGAGCUAUGUCACCCUGGAAGGACUCCUGGGAAGCCGCCUACCAACACGAUUUCCUAAGUCAGGGCCUUAGAAAGUGAGAGCCCCGGUGGAGGCCACAGAUUAAUGAGCAGAGGGUGUGGGAAGGUCGAGGACUGUGUUCCUCCAACUCCUAUUCCCACUAAUAAUUGCUCCCCCAAGGCAGGGUGGGUCACCCGCUCUCCCAAGGCAGGGGGGGUCACCCCCUCCCCCAAGGCAGAGUACUCUCUCUCCUCCCACCACGGAAGUCAGUGCAGGAAAGUCAUCAUAGACAGACCUGCUCUUCUGGUCAUUAGUGGUUUGACUUUGUAAAGCUGCUGAACACUUUUGGGCCUCGGUUUCCUCAUCUAAGAGAUGAGCAUAUCCUCCACCACAGAGCAUGGGUGUGAACAUUAAAUGAAGUAAGAUUCAUUAAGCUGCUAGCAGAGGUGCAACAGUCCAUCUACAUAUGAACUGCUAACACGUAUGAGUGUGUGGUAUGUACACGGUGAUGCACUAAGAACUUUACAAGCCUGAAGGCCCUAUAGUUCCUCACAACAAUUCUAGGAAGUAAAUUGUAGCAGACUUGUCAGACGUUCGGACUCACAUCUGCUUAGCCUGUCUUUGGAUUUCAGCCAUGGCUCCGUGGACAGUGAGUUCCCUGCAGGCUUCUGCUCACUGCAAGCUGACAGUGUAGCCCCUUCCCUGGGAUCCCUGAUGGCGUGAACGCUGAGGAAGCUCACUCUGUCUGAGCACGUGUGGAGCUCAGAAGUGCAGAGGGCAGCUUGACAAUGGGGAAUGGAGACGGUGGAUAGAGGCCCUACCGCAUCUCCACACAAUUCUGGGGGCAUUCUAUAUGCUCCUGCACAGUCUAGUCUCUGCUGUCCAUAGCAGGGACUUUGGUAAUGCACCCCUCAAUUGGGGACAAUUCUUCCUUCUCUGUCUCACUCUCUUCUUAAAUCAGUCCUGCUCCCUGGGAUCACCUCCCAAAUAAAUAACCUCACUGUUGCUCCAUGAGAUUUCCCAGUGAAACCACACUCACUUCUUGUCUUAGACUCUGCUUUCAUGGGAACCCAGCUAAGACAGUGGAUUCUGGGGGUGGCUCCAGGAAGUAUAUCCUCCAGAAAGAAUACUGGGACUGGACCAUUCACCCUCUUGGGGUAAACGGGGUUGGUGAUAACCCCUAGCAUGUGAUGGCAUCAUCAUUGCUCAGACUUGCUUGUGAUAGAUUGGGAUGAGGUACAGGUGGAAAGCGAAACACUGGGUUAUGUGGUAGCUCUAGAACUAUAGUAAUUAUAAGUAUUGUGGAGUUGUAAGAAUAGGGAUGGCUUUUGUCAAGUUCCUUGAAAGCCUGGAAGAAACUGGAUAAUAGCUCCAUGUUAUCCAAGAGCCAUCAGCUCAGGGUGUGUUGUGAAAUCUGGAAAUCUUCCACAGUGACAUUUAAUGAGAUAUUAACCUUCUGUAGCCUUAGAUGCACAGUGUUAAAAAUUAGGCCUUGGGCUUAAUUGUAAGGGUGGAGAAACUACCAUGAGGGCUGGACGUGUACUUUGGGCAGCUCUCCUCUGUUAAACUCUGAGUCUUGGUAGGAAAGGAGUGAGACCUGGAAUGGGGAUGUCUGAGUGGAUGAGCAUGGAACUUUGAAUCCUCAGACUGCCCUGACUCCACUUGCCAGGGCAGAAGCAUCCCUGCCCCUUGCUAGAGGAGAGAAACCUCCUUUUGCCCGUAGGCCACAAGAACAUCUCAUAUAAAGCAGAAGUCUAACAAGGUGAUUCUUGUCCUUCUUGAGAACAUCUUCCACGUCCUUCAGAACCUCCAAAAUAAUUGAGAUCAGGCCUCAGCAUCGUCUGAGAGAGGAAAUCCAUCUAUCAGUCAAGAGAAAAUAAUUUACUCACUGCAAGGAAUUCCUCUACCUGGGGGUGGGAGGUGGAGUAAUGGCCCCCAAGGACAUCCAACCUAACUCCUGGAAUCCACUUCCUAUGGUCAAGGGGACUUUACAGUUAGAGAUGUUAAGCUGGGAAUAUUAUCCUGGGUCAGCUGGGAGGGCCUAUGUGUAGUCAUAAAUGUCUUUAUAAGAGAGCAGCCAAGGAAUAUUGGACAACAGAAGAGAGGGCAAUGUGAUGACGCAAGUGGAGAGUGGAGUGUGGUAGGCACAGCCACAGAAUGCCAACAGCUACUAGAAGCUGGAGGAGACAAGGAAUGCAUUCUCCUUUGGAGCUUCCAGAAAGAACCAGCCCUACUGACACUCUGAAGUUAGCUCCAUAGGACUCAUUGCAGACUUCUGCACCCCUGCCAAGCCAUGAUAGAAUAAAUUUCUGUCGUUUUAAGCC